GUUAAAUUGUUUCUCUUCAUCUGUCAUCCUUCUGAUUUGUAGCUCAAUAUUUUUCAUGCCGCUCUUUAAAAAAGAGGAUGUUGAAGAGCUCCAAAGAAGUUGUGCGAAGGAAUGGUAACAUUUUUUUGCAUUACUUGUUCAGUCAUAUUUUCUUACUGACUUUGGAGCAUUCUACAUAGUAAUUUCUUUGAAGCAGAAAGGGUCUACAGAGGGUCUGUCUCACGCCCAACUACAACAUUCUAGAAAAUUAUCUUCUGUAUAGGAUUUACACGUUCAUCUUUGUCACACAUUCAUUCUUACAAUUCUACUCUUGCUCUGUGAAGUGUUUGUGAAAUGACAUGGAAAGAAGUAUCAGAAGCCAAUAGAAGUUCUUGAUGAAGUUUAUGUUUGGAAGACAGUUAAGUUGGCUUUUUUUCAAUAACUGCUAUAUUAGUCAUGUUUUCUUUCAUUGUGAAUUCUAUGCACCUAUUGAUUAACCAUGAAUAAUUAAGGCAAACCAAGAAGUUUGAUAGAAACUAAGGUGUAGUUUGGUACAUAAAUAUACCUUACAAUUAUGGAAGUCCUCAUUUUAGAGUUAGCAAAAUACAGUGUAUUUGUAUUGAUGCUUUUUUGUUUUUCUCAUAUUAGUAUUUUAACAAAUUCCAUAAAUUAGGCCAUUUAAAUAUUUUGAAGCACUAGCACUGUAAUGAAUUUUAAAGUUUCUGUGCUAGAAUAAGACAUCUAUUUUUUGUUCUAUCUCCUUUACGGUCCAUAUUUUCCACACUAUUGAACAUUUUAUCUUUAGUAAUGCUAAUUCACAUUUGUAUUUAAGUUUAUUAUAAGAACCUAGACCAAAAAUUAUUUCACAUGUCUGACAAUUUCAAACAUGAUUUUGUUAUCAUCUUUCCUAGCAAUUUUUUAAGAGGAUCACCUGUUAAGAAAACACAUUUUAAUGUAGGAUCCAUUAUGUGUGUGGAGGUUUAACUUUGGAAACUAACCUCAUACAGUCAUUUCCACUGCAAUUCUAAAGGCAAAAAUGACAUGCAUUUGGCUUUGAUUCUUUUCUAUGCUGAGGUGGUUUGAUUUAAAAACAUGAUGAGCUGGGUGCUAUAUUUUUCAAAUUGUUUUCACUUCAGAGAAUGUCAGAAAUGUGUGCUUUGUGAUUUUAAUACAUAUCAUAUAAUUUGCCUUUGACGUUCACAGUUACUACAGAAAUCAAACUAUUUAUGGAGUAGUUCUUAGUAGUAGACCAUUCCUGAGCCCUUGUGAUACAUGGAAACUCCUAAGAAGGAUAAUUGACAGAUGUGGUUAUUUAAAUAGACUCAAGCAGCACGUAAAUGUCAAAGGUAUUUAUAAGGUUUCUCAGUUCAGCUCGGUGUUUGUAUCUGAGCACCUAUGUCCAUCUUCAUAGCAGUUAAUGUGGUUCAUUCAGUUAAGAUUUUUCUGAAGAAACACAAAUCAAAUGUGUUUAUUUCAGUUGCAUGUCUUUUCAUGUGGAUAAUUUUGUAGCCACUCUCUGGACAUUGGAGAUUCAUAUGUAUAAUCCAAGAAAUUAAUAUUCAGAAAUACUACUGAUUUUUUCUAAAUGAUUAGGUUGUGAGAAUGGAUUCUAUAUGUAUUUAUAACAAACAGGUACUGUGUGCCCCUAACACAACCAGUUUUUGGCGCUGAAAUGUUUUGGUGUCACUGACCUGUGAAACCUGGAUUGGAGACCAAUCUGUAAAACUGCAGAGGACAACAUGCAGUGAGUAUAAUGGGACUGCUGACCUAGAGUUUCAGAGGUGGUCAAAUCUCACCAGGUUUUGAUUCAUUUGGAUGAGUGACGGCAGACUCCUUUGAAAACCUCUGCCAUAGAAUUUUCAUGGAUAAUCAUGUUAUUGACAAAAUUUUAUAGGAAUACUUUUGAUCCUGAAAGAACCUCUCUGGGAAUAUAAAGCUGUAUACAGAUUUUUGAAGAGUACAAACUUAGGAGAAAUAAUAAUAUUUCACAAAUCGGCAGUGAAUAAAAAAAUAUUUUUUUCUUUUGUGUUAAAGAAAGUAAUAGAUUUAAAGGUUAUAAAUUAAGCUAUAAUUCCUCUUCUUACUAUCAGCCAUGUGAGACACUGAUCAAAGAAAAUGCAUGUUGAUUUUGGUCUUCUAAGUAUGAUGAAUUCACACAUCAAGACUAGUGAGCGUUUUGUAAAACUUUUGUAAAAAUGCAUAUAUAUAACUGGCAACACCAUUGCCAGGGGCUGGAACAAGGUUCUAAAAGCCGCCAGAGGAUAUGGAUUGCUGUUUCUCUUCAGUCUCUGUGGGAAUUAGCAAACUUGAAAAUGUCAGUUUAAAAAUGGGAAUGUUGGCUUAUUGAAAGACUACUAUUGAAAGUUCCAGGACAAUUAAUAUGCAUCGACCUUUCUGGUUACCUGUGUUAAAUAUGUUCUUUACUCCAAGUAGAUGCUUAAUAUUAAAUGUAAUGGAAUUUUUAGUGUCUGAUGUUAUCCAGGGAAUCAAAGCCUUCAGAACAGACUUCGAACAGCCCUGAGCAUUUGAUGUUUGAGAAAGUGAACAAAAAUAUACUCUUUAUGCAAAAAGGCUCUAAUACAAAGCAGAAAAGAAAGAAAAACAGAAAAAUAAAACAGACUGUGCCACUGUUUGCAUUACCUAUGAAAAAGAUUGUAAAGGGCAGCAACAGUAAAGAGUGUAAUAUUUUUAUGAGUAUAUG